rnacentral:lncRNA from 1 species
CACUGGCAUGCUCUAUUCAUAUCUUCUAAAAUCAUUGUCCUAAUCUUUAGGGUUCAUCAUAAUCUUAGACAUGAUAAGAUGCAGCUAAAUAAUGAAUCAAUACCUUAUUUUAUUAUCAAAUAAUAAAUAUCAUUAUAUGAGUUGAAAAAUUAUAAAAAAAAAUUCUAUCGCAAUAUACUUGCAAUUGGCUUUUAGGGCACUCUUCUUUCAUCCACAUGCCCAAAGUAGUUUGACGACCUAGUUCUAUGUUAAGAAAAGGAAAGGCUGUGGUUCAAGUAUUGAGAUCACGG